AGUGAACGCUGGCGGUAGGCCUAACACAUGCAAGUCGAACGGCAGCACAGUAAGAGCUUGCUCUUACGGGUGGCGAGUGGCGGACGGGUGAGGAAUACAUCGGAAUCUACUUUUUCGUGGGGGAUAACGUAGGGAAACUUACGCUAAUACCGCAUACGACCUACGGGUGAAAGCAGGGGAUCUUCGGACCUUGCGCGAUUGAAUGAGCCGAUGUCGGAUUAGCUAGUUGGCGGGGUAAAGGCCCACCAAGGCGACGAUCCGUAGCUGGUCUGAGAGGAUGAUCAGCCACACUGGAACUGAGACACGGUCCAGACUCCUACGGGAGGCAGCAGUGGGGAAUCUUGGGCAGUGGGCGCAAGCCUGAUCCAGCCAUACCGCGUGGGUGAAGCAGGCCUUCGGGUUGUAAAGCCCUUUUGUUGGGAAAGAAAAGCAGCAGGUUAAUACCCCGCUGUUCUGACGGUACCCAAAGAAUAAGCACCGGCUAACUUCGUG
rnacentral:rRNA from 1 species